AUGAAGGGGGGCAAGGCGAUAGGCCCUGAUUGUAUCCCCAUUGAGGUGUGGAAAGGUCUCGGGGACAUAGCGAUAGUAUGGCUAACCAAGCUUUUCAACCUCAUUUUUCGGGCAAACAAGAUGCCAGAAGAAUGGAGACGGAGUAUAUUAGUACCAAUCUUCAAGAACAAGGGGGGUGUUCAGAUUUGUACUAAUUACCAUGGAAUUAAGCUGAUGAGCCAUACAAUGAAGCUAUGGGAGAGAGUCAUUGAGCACCGCUUAAGAAGAAUGACAAGCGUGACCAAAAAUCAGUUUGGUUUCAUGCCUGGGAGGUCGACCAUGGAAGCCAUUUUCUUAGUACGACAACUUAUGGAGAGAUAUAGGGAGCAAAAGAAGGACUUGCAUAUGGUGUUCAUUGACUUGGAGAAGGCCUAUGAUAAGAUACCGCGGAAUGGCAUGUGCUGGGCCUUGGAGAAACACAAAGUCCCAGCAAAGCACAUUACCCUCAUCAAGGACAUGUAUGAUAAUGUUGUGACAAGUGUUCGAACAAGUGAUGUCGACACCGAUGACUUCCCGAUUAAGAUAGGACUGCAUCAGGGGUCAGCUUUGAGCCCUUACCUUUUCGCAUUGGUGAUGGAUGAGGUCACAAGGGAUAUACAAGGAGAUAUCCCAUGGUGUAUGCUCUUUGCGGAUGAUGUGGUGCUAGUUGACGAUAGUCGGACGGGGGUAAAUAGGAAGUUAGAGUUAUGGAGACAAACCUUGGAAUCAAAAGGGUUUAGGCUUAGUAGAACUAAAACCGAGUACAUGAUGUGCGGUUUCAGUACUGUUAGGUGUGAGGAGGAUGAGGUUAGCCUUGAUGGCCAGGUGGUACCUUGGAAGGACACCUUUCGGUAUUUGGGGUCAAUGCUGCAGGAGGAUGGGGGUAUUGAUGAAGAUGUGAACCAUCGAAUCAAAGCCGGAUGGAUAAAGUGGCGCCAAGCUUCUGGCAUUCUCUGUGACAAGAGAGUGCCACAAAAGCUAAAAGGCAAGUUCUACAGGACGGCGGUUCGACCUGCAAUGUUGUAUGGCGCUGAGUGUUGGCCGACUAAAAGGCGACAUGUUCAACAGUUAGGUGUGGCAGAGAUGCGUAUGUUGAGAUGGAUGUGUGGCCACACGAGGAAGGAUCGAGUCCGGAAUGAUGAUAUACGAGAUAGAGUUGGGGUAGCACCAAUUGAAGAGAAGCUUGUCCAACAUCGUCUGAGAUGGUUUGGGCAUAUUCAGCGCAGGCCUCCAGAAGCUCCAGUGCAUAGCGGACGGCUAAAGCGUGCGGAGAAUGUCAAGAGAGGGCGGGGUAGACCGAAUUUGACAUGGGAGGAGUCCGUUAAGAGAGACCUGAAGGAUUGGAGUGUCACCAAAGAGCUAGCUAUGGACAGGGGUGCGUGGAAGCUUGCUAUCCAUGUGCCAGAGCCAUGA
rnacentral:rRNA from 1 species